rnacentral:rRNA from 1 species
GGGACUUGGGGGGCGGCUUACACAUGCAGUCGAACGCCCCGCAAGGGGAGUGGCAGACGGGUGAGUAACGCGUGGGAACAUACCCUUUCCUGCGGAAUAGCUCCGGGAAACUGGAAUUAAUACCGCAUACGCCCUACGGGGGAAAGAUUUAUCGGGGAAGGAUUGGCCCGCGUUGGAUUAGCUAGUUGGUGGGGUAAAGGCCUACCAAGGCGACGAUCCAUAGCUGGUCUGAGAGGAUGAUCAGCCACAUUGGGACUGAGACACGGCCCAAACUCCUACGGGAGGCAGCAGUGGGGAAUAUUGGACAAUGGGCGCAAGCCUGAUCCAGCCAUGCCGCGUGAGUGAUGAAGGCCUUAGGGUUGUAAAGCUCUUUCACCGGAGAAGAUAAUGACGGUAUCCGGAGAAGAAGCCCCGGCUAACUUCGUGCCACCAGCCGCGGGAAUACGAAGGGGGCUAACGUUGGUCGGAAUUACUGGGGGUAAAGCGCACGUAAGCGGAUAUUUAAAUCGGGGGGUGAAAUCCCCAAGCUCAACUCUGGAAAUGGCUUUGAUAUUGGGUAUCCUUGAGUAUGGGAAAAAGUAAGUGGAAUUCCCCAGUGGAAAAGGGAAAAUUUGUACAUAUUUCCCAAGGAAGCCCCGUGGCCAAAGGCGGGCUUUACCGGGGUCCAUUACUGGGCCCUGGAGGGGGGGAAAAAACUUUGGGAACAAAACCGGAAUUAAAUUAGCCUGGGGGUUCCCCCGCCCCCAAAACCCAUUAAACUUUUUGGUCUUGCGGGGAAUUAUUUUUUUCUGAGGGGGACCUCAACACCCUUAUCAACUUUUUACCCCUGGGGGAGGAGUACAUCGCGCAGGUAUUACGCUAAAAUGAGAUAUAUCGCGGGGGGGGGCGCCCAAGAGAGUGAUAGAAACAUUUGUUUUUUUUUUUGUCAUAUAGCCGAUAAAAUUCUUAUACACUCUUGGUAUAUUGGGCGUUUGAGGCUGUAUAUGAAGAAACGUGGUUCCUAUCUGUAUGACGGCGCGCACAGCAGAAAAGGGGGGGCUCUAGCCGGGGUCUUUCGAUGGCAUCUCGCUUGACGAGUAGUUGGUUAUGAGUUACAGCCCACCCAAUGUGAGCCACCACGCAGUAUGGCUUUUCUUGCGCCUAUUGUAUAUAGUGAGCGAACUCUUCGGAAGCGGUCAAUCUCCGUUGUCUUCGCACCGAACGACGUGACUG